AACAAAAUGAGUAUAUGACCAUAGUUGUAUGAUGUUUCUCACAUAUGUGUAUUUCCAAUAGUGCACAUCAGAAAGCCCCAGGAAGCCAACUAUUAGUUCUUUGCCUACAUCUCCUGCCAAAACUGGAAUACACAUGCACAGUAUUAUACAAGAACCAUUUAAUGGAAAAGCAAGUUUGCAGCAAAAGAUCACAAAAGAAAACUUGGUGUGUGAAUCUCCUGCUCCUGUUUUAAAGAAGGCAAUCAUAGAAAAGCAAAAAUCAGGUAACUAUAUUAUAUGGAGCU
rnacentral:lncRNA from 1 species